ACCUCCGCCAGGCCGGGCCCCACGCCGGCCGCGGAUUGGCUCCCUCCAAGGGCACGCACGCCCGGGGACUCGUUGGCGGCGUGGAGGGGCGCCGGUGGCCACGUUGGUGUCAACCUCCUUCGUGAAGCUCACACCUCCCCCGCCCCGGGAGGGGUUUGCCCGCCACUGUCGCUGAAUGAUUGCAUCAUCGAAAGCAGAAAACCACUUUUGCAUCCUUCGGCCUCUGGCGUGCCUGCCAUGACGUCAUAGCUCUGCGGAGGUGGAAGUUGGGGAGCUUUGAGGUAACUGGAUUCUUGAUCUGAGCGCAGACGUCCUUCCUAACCUCACUGCAUUUGGAGGACCUGGAGGGAGGGUGGGUGAAGGGCAAGGAAAGAGGCAGGAUGAGAGCUUGGCCGCGGUGGCGUCUGAGGGGCCUGAAUGUUUCAAGGCCAGAGCCUGGCGAUCAGGUGGCUCGCUUAGUCCUAAACCAGUCAUCCUUCUCCAGGCCUCCUCUGUAGAAUGGAAACUCUGUACCCCUGCUUGUCUUAGGACCUCAUGGAUCCCAGGGGGACCAAGAGAGGAGCUGAGAAGACAGAGGUAGCUGAGCCUCGGAACAAACUACCUCGUCCAGCACCUUCUCUGCCCACAGACCCUGCCCUCUACUCUGGGCCCUUUCCUUUCUACCGGCGCCCUUCGGAACUGGGCUGCUUCUCCCUGGAUGCUCAACGCCAGUACCAUGGAGAUGCCCGAGCCCUGCGCUACUAUAGCCCACCCCCCACUAACGGUCCAGGCCCCAACUUUGACCUCAGAGACGGAUACCCGGAUCGAUACCAGCCCCGGGACGAGGAGGUCCAGGAAAGGCUGGACCACCUGCUGUGCUGGCUCCUGGAACACCGAGGCCGGUUGGAGGGGGGUCCAGGCUGGCUGGCAGAGGCCAUAGUGACGUGGCGGGGGCACCUGACAAAACUGCUGACGACACCGUAUGAGCGGCAGGAGGGCUGGCAGCUGGCAGCCUCCCGGUUCCAGGGAACACUAUACCUGAGUGAAGUGGAGACACCGAACGCUCGGGCCCAGAGGCUUGCUCGGCCACCGCUCCUCCGGGAGCUUAUGUACAUGGGAUACAAAUUUGAGCAGUACAUGUGUGCAGGUGAGUUGCCCCUGCUUCAUAGCCCCCUUCCCCUUCCCAGAGGUUGAGAGCCCCCCACGCCUGCUGCUGCUUCUCUCCUUGUGCAGACAAACCUGGAAGCUCCCCAGACCCCUCUGGGGAGGUUAACACCAACGUGGCCUUCUGCUCUGUGCUACGCAGCCGCCUGGGAAGCCACCCUCUGCUCUUCUCAGGGGAGGUAGACUGCACAGACCCCCAAGCCCCAUCCACACAGCCCCCAACCUGCUAUGUGGAGCUCAAGACCUCCAAGGAGAUGCACAGCCCUGGCCAAUGGAGGAGUUUCUACAGACACAAGCUCCUGAAAUGGUGGGCUCAGUCAUUCCUCCCAGGGGUCCCGAAUGUUGUUGCUGGCUUCCGUAACCCAGACGGUUUUGUCUCUUCCCUCAAGACCUUUCCUACCAUGAAGAUGUUUGAAUAUGUCAGGAAUGACCGUGACGGCUGGAAUCCCUCUGUGUGCAUGAACUUCUGUGCCGCCUUCCUUAGCUUUGCCCAGAGCACGGUUGUCCAGGAUGACCCCAGGCUCGUUCAUCUCUUCUCUUGGGAGCCUGGCGGCCCAGUCACCGUGUCUGUACACCAAGAUGCACCUUACGCCUUCCUGCCCAUAUGGUAUGUGGAAGCUAUGACUCAGGACCUCCCAUCACCCCCCAAGACUCCCUCUCCCAAAUAGUAAUGCUUUAGAGGGAGGCAGUCAUAUCUCUGUGUGCAGAUAAUAAAAGCAUAUUUCUAAGAGGUUC
rnacentral:lncRNA from 1 species